rnacentral:tRNA from 1 species
GGGGCCUUAGCUCAGCUGGGAGAGCACCUGCUUUGCAAGCAGGGGGUCGUCGGUUCGAUUCCGACAGGCUCCACCA